UGCAGUCGAACGGAAAGGCCCAGCUUGCUGGGUGCUCGAGUGGCGAACGGGUGAGUAACACGUGGGUGAUCUGCCUCUAACUUCGGGAUAAGCUUGGGAAACUGGGUCUAAUACCGGAUAGGACAAUCGUUUAGUGUCGGUUGUGGAAAGUUUUUUCGGUUAGGGAUGAGCCCGCGGCCUAUCAGCUUGUUGGUGGGGUAAUGGCCUACCAAGGCGUCGACGGGUAGCCGGCCUGAGAGGGUGGACGGCCACAUUGGGACUGAGAUACGGCCCAGACUCCUACGGGAGGCAGCAGUGGGGAAUAUUGCACAAUGGGCGCAAGCCUGAUGCAGCGACGCCGCGUGGGGGAUGACGGCCUUCGGGUUGUAAACCUCUUUCGACAGGGACGAAGCUUUGGUGACGGUACCUGUAUAAGAAGCACCGGCUAACUACGUGCCAGCAGCCGCGGUAAUACGUAGGGUGCGAGCGUUGUCCGGAAUUACUGGGCGUGAAGAGCUCGUAGGUGGUUUGUCGCGUCGUCUGUGAAAUUCCGGGGCUUAACUUCGGGCGUGCAGGCGAUACGGGCAUAACUUGAGUGCUGUAGGGGAGACUGGAAUUCCUGGUGUAGCGGUGGAAUGCGCAGAUAUCAGGAGGAACACCGAUGGCGAAGGCAGGUCUCUGGGCAGUAACUGACGCUGAGGAGCGAAAGCAUGGGGAGCGAAUAGGAUUAGAUACCCUGGUAGUCCAUGCCGUAAACGGUGGGCGCUAGGUGUAGGGGUCUUCCACGACUUCUGUGCCGUAGCUAACGCAUUAAGCGCCCCGCCUGGGGAGUACGGCCGCAAGGCUAAAACUCAAAGGAAUUGACGGGGGCCCGCACAAGCGGCGGA
rnacentral:rRNA from 1 species